UACGGGGGGGCAAGCGUUGUUCGGAAUCACUGGGCGUAAAGCGCGUGUAGGCGGCCCUUUAAGUCCGAUGUGAAAGCCCGGGGCUCACCCCCGGAAGUGCAUUGGAUACUGAAGGGCUGGAGUACCGGAGAGGAGGGUGGAAUUCCUGGUGUAGCGGUGAAAUGCGUAGAUAUCAGGAGGAACACCUGUGGCGAAGGCGGCCCUCUGGACGGAUACUGACGCUGAGACGCGAAAGCGUGGGGAGCAAACAGG
rnacentral:rRNA from 1 species